rnacentral:rRNA from 1 species
UGGCGGACGGGUGAGUAACGCGUGGGUAACCUGCCUUACACAGGGGGAUAACACCUGGAAACAGGUGCUAAUACCGCAUAAGCGCACAGGGCCGCAUGGCCCGGUGUGAAAAACUCCGGUGGUGUAAGAUGGACCCGCGUCUGAUUAGCUCGUUGGCGGGGUAGAGGCCCACCAAGGCGACGAUCAGUAGCCGGCCUGAGAGGGUGGACGGCCACAUUGGGACUGAGACACGGCCCAAACUCCUACGGAAGGCAGCAG